rnacentral:rRNA from 1 species
AUUGAACGCUGGCGGUAUGCUUAACACAUGCAAGUCGAACGGUAACAUAACGAGAGCUUGCUCUCUUGAUGACGAGUGGCGGACAGGUCGAGUAACUAUAUAGGAACCUUCCUCAUAGGUUUAGGAUAAGCACUCGAAAGACGUGUCCUAAUACUGGGAUGUGAAACUACGGUUUAAAGCAGGGGAUCUUCGGACCUUGUGCUAUGAGAUGGGGCCUA